rnacentral:rRNA from 1 species
AUGGCCGGCCCCUCACCGUCGCCGUCCGCCAGCAGCCGCCGCCUGUCGGAGCUCCUGGAGGAGGAGCAAGAGCCGUUCUCCCUUCACCUCUACCUCCUCGAGAAGGGCUGCUCCCCCACCACCCUGGACGCGGCCGGAGGCUGCGGCGUUGCCUCCUUACCUUGCUGGCCGAGGAGCAGAGGCACCUCCCCGGCGCCGAGGCGGGUGACGGCCAGCAAGAGAACGCCCGCCACCGCCAGCGGCCUCCUCUCCAAGUUCCUCCGCGGCUCGGCGGCGCCUGCGUCCACGAAAAGAAAGAAGAGGCUGCGGUCGGCCGCCAUUGGCCCGUGCUCCGUCGAAGGCGAGAAGACGGCGAGCAAAAGAAAGAACGCCGUCGAGGCACACGGGGAUGAAGCAGAGGACGACGUGGGAGGAAGCUACGACGACGACGACUCGUCGAAGCAGCUGAGCCCCGUGUCCGUCUUGGAGCGCCCGCCAUUCGAGAAGCCACCGCGGGCGUACGCCGAGAAAGCCAUCGUCGUCUUGAGGGAGCUCCUGGACGCGGCACGCAAGCCCGCAUUGCUCCAGCGGAAAGUUGCCACAGAAAGCAGCAAGGCCGGCGAUGUCCUCAUGGAGACUUCAACAACGACGACGACGACGAUGGCGCACCCCGCACCGGCGCCCACGAGGACCGACCGUGCUGCCAGCGCUGCUGCACAUUUGGAGGAGAUGUUUGAGGCCAGGGGGCACGACCUCGUACCGUUGGACAUGCCCGGCGAGAGAGGGGAUGCCCGGCUGGGGCGGUGGGACGUCGGCGCCGAGCUAGCGGUUGCGGUGCUGGAAGAGCUGACGGAGGAGGUGGUGGCGGAGCUGAUGGGGAUGGUCCACCAUGAUGAUGCCAAUGCCAUCGACGUGAAGUAG